rnacentral:misc_RNA from 1 species
UGGUUCUGGCAUCGAUGAAGAACGCAGCGAAAUGCGAUAAGUAAUGUGAAUUGCAGAAUUCAGUGAAUCAUCGAAUCUUUGAACGCACAUUGCGCCCUCUGGUAUUCCGGGGGGCAUGCCUGUUCGAGCGUCAUUACAACCCUCAAGCUAAGCUUGGUAUUGGGUGCUACCAUCUUGGGUACACCUUAAAAUCAGUGGCGGCGCCACCUGGCUUCUAGCGUAGUAAUACUUUUCGCUAUGGGGUUCUGGGUGUGUGCUUGCCAUCAACCUCUAUAUACUGGUUGACCUCGGAUCAGGUAGGGAUACCCGCUGA